AUUGAACGCUGGCGGCAUGCCUUACACAUGCAAGUCGAACGGCAGCACGGGUGCUUGCACCUGGUGGCGAGUGGCGAACGGGUGAGUAAUACAUCGGAACAUGUCCUGUAGUGGGGGAUAGCCCGGCGAAAGCCGGAUUAAUACCGCAUACGAUCCGCGGAUGAAAGCGGGGGACCUUCGGGCCUCGCGCUAUAGGGUUGGCCGAUGGCUGAUUAGCUAGUUGGUGGGGUAAAGGCCUACCAAGGCGACGAUCAGUAGCUGGUCUGAGAGGACGACCAGCCACACUGGGACUGAGACACGGCCCAGACUCCUACGGGAGGCAGCAGUGGGGAAUUUUGGACAAUGGGCGAAAGCCUGAUCCAGCAAUGCCGCGUGUGUGAAGAAGGCCUUCGGGUUGUAAAGCACUUUUGUCCGGAAAGAAAUCCUUGACUCUAAUACAGUCGGGGGAUGACGGUACCGGAAGAAUAAGCACCGGCUAACUACGUG
rnacentral:rRNA from 1 species